rnacentral:rRNA from 1 species
UACGAAGGGGGCUAGCGUUGCUCGGAAUCACUGGGCGUAAAGGGCUCGUAGGCGGCCAACUAAGUCAGACGUGAAAUCCCUCGGCUUAACCGGGGAACUGCGUCUGAUACUGGAUGGCUUGAGGUUGGGAGAGGGAUGCGGAAUUCCUGGUGUAGCGGUGGAAUGCGCAGAUAUCAGGAGGAACACCAACGGCGAAGGCAGCUCUCUGGUACGUGAUUGACGCUGAGACGCGAAAGCGUGGGUAGCAAACAGG